UUUUAGGUUACCUUGAUCCGUCUUAGCAUGUGUGAAUGUGACUUCCUGUAGAAAUCUGAGCUUGAAAACAAAAGCAUAAGUUCAUCACCCUUGGCCAAAGAGUUCAUAUUCAGAAAGGCAUUUUGCGGGGAAUUAACACUUCUCCCUGCCACUAUGCACUUGGAUCUCAAGUGCAUACCACGUGCUUUUCUAACUUGGGACCUCUGUCAGCACAUAAAUACAGAGGAAAACAGGCUACACUGGAAAGGAAGUGUGUUUUAACCUGGAAAGGAUGAUGAAGUGCUUCCUUCAUAUUCACAGAAUCACUAGUCCCACUCUGGUCAUGAAUUCU